AGAGUUUGAUCCUGGCUCAGGAUGAACGCUAGCGGCAGGCUUAAUACAUGCAAGUCGUGGGGCAGCAUGGUGUGUAGCAAUACACACUGAUGGCGACCGGCAAACGGGUGCGGAACACGUACGCAACUUACCCUUAAGUGGGGGAUAGCCCGGGGAAACCCGGAUUAAUACCUCGUAACACUGUGAAGUGGCAUCACUUUAUAGUUAUAGCUCCGGCGCUUAAGGAUGGGCGUGCGUCCCAUUAGGUAGUUGGUUGAGGUAACGGCUCACCAAGCCUGCGAUGGGUAACUGGUGUGAGAGCACGACCAGUCACACGGGCACUGAGACACGGGCCCGACUCCUACGGGAGGCAGCAGUAAGGAAUAUUGGUCAAUGGACGCAAGUCUGAACCAGCCAUGCCGCGUGGAGGAUGAAGGCCCUCUGGGUUGUAAACUUCUUUUAUGGGGGACGAAACCCCGGAUUUUUAUCCGGCCUGACGGUACCCCAGGAAUAAGCACCGGCUAACUCCGUGCCAGCAGCCGCGGUAAUACGGAGGGUGCAAGCGUUAUCCGGAUUCACUGGGUUUAAAGGGUGCGUAGGCGGGUUUGUAAGUCAGUGGUGAAAUCCCGAAGCUUAACUUCGGAACUGCCGUUGAUACUACAGGUCUUGAAUACUCGGGAGGUGAGCGGAAUAUGUCAUGUAGCGGUGAAAUGCUUAGAUAUGACAUAGAACACCGAUUGCGAAGGCAGCUCACUACAGAGUCAUUGACGCUGAGGCACGAAAGCGUGGGGAUCAAACAGGAUUAGAUACCCUGGUAGUCC
rnacentral:rRNA from 1 species